UAAAAAUGUGGGACAUUCCACAAGUCACAUGAUCAACAGGAAGUAGCAUCACUUGAGCAUCAUUUUUUUUUAAAAUUAGUUUUGGUAAACCACUUGAAGGUGCUAAAUGUUCUCAUGCUAUUAGCAUUGAUGCAAUGUGGCUACAUUUCAUGCAUUUGCUAAUGCUAUGCUGAAAACUCAGGCUAAAUAUGAAGGGUAACAGGACUGAAUACGAGUAACAGGAGUGAGAGGUUCGAAUGAAAUAGCCAUUUGAAAUUUGGAUCUGGGAGCCAACCCGACUAAGCGCUGCGGAGAAGCAGCGGCGCUCUCGCGUUCGACGCGAUGCCGUGCCCAGAGAGGAGAGAGAGAUACUUCAAAAAGGAACAGCAGAAAUACUGGGAGGACAUAGCAUCAGGCAGGAAGUGGAGAGAGACUUACGACAGGAUCAAGUCCAGGAAAGUAGCCCUAAAGCACUUCACCACACCUCCAGAGAGCCCCCGGCUUUCACCAGACAGAGCUGAUAAUCCAGAGCCAAGCACUUCCGGGUCAGGAUGAGAGUUAAGCUCUAGUGCCAAACUAGAGACUUUCUAAGAAAAGAGGAAGAUGGAGAACCCAUACUGUGCAGAGGCAGGAGCCAGACACACAUGCUGCAGGGGGAGGAGCGAUACUCACACCUUCUCUCUCUUUCCCUCUCUCCACCGCCCACCCCACCCCGCACACACAAGCACGCACUCACAUACAUGCACACACACUCAUGGAAAAGCACGCACACACACUCAUGCAAAAGCACGCACACACACUCAAUGCGAAAGCACUCACACACACUCAAGCAAAAGCAUGCACACACAAUUGUUACUGCUUUUAUAUUGUUAUUUAGACUAAGAUCUUUUUUUUUGCCAAAUAUAAUGACCUCUGUUUUAUCUUUGUUUAAUUUAAGGAAAUUCUGUGACAUCCAGUUAUUCUCACACACACCAGCACUCAUUCCUGUUACUCAGUGCUCAUUCCUGUUACUCAGUGCUCAUUCCUGUUACUCAGUGCUCAUUCCUGUUACUCAGUGCUCAUUCCUGUUACUCAGUGCUCAUUCCUGUUACUCAGCGCUCAUUCCUGUUACUCAGUGCUCAUUCCUGUUACUCAGUGCUCAUUCCUGUUACUCAGUGCUCAUUCCUGUUACUCAGCACUCAUUCCUGUUACUCAGCGCUCAUUCCUGUUACUCA
ensembl:lncRNA